UGGAGAGAGUCCGUGUACAACCUUCACGUAAGCUCAAAUUGGACAGGGGAAAAGCACUUAUUCAGAGAAGCUCUUGUGACGCGUUUGGAUUCUUGGAUUCCGGCGCCUUCAACCACUGCGUUCACGAGGAUUUAGCACAAGCCGGAAGAAACGAUCAACUCCAACACAACAAUGCGUUAUCCUUCUCACAGAAUUGACUUCAACGAUUAUUACGAUUCAAGGAUUCAAGAACUCGCGGUGUUAAGCAAUCCACCAUGGUUCGCGAUGUUCGAUCUUUAUUGAUAGUUCAGAUACUCGAAGAUCCGCGAUUCAUCUCACUCCAUUAUCGUAUGUGCGGAUGGAAGAAAAACCACAUCGAAAUCGGAUCGGAAAAACUUACCAGAUUAAAGCUCCAAUUACAAUUAGCUUCUCACCAAUUCCGUUACGAGUUGCGAGCUUCUACGGAUUUUGUUGAAGGUUCUUGGUGGAUGAUGAAGGCCUCGCUCGCAUCUCCGCUUUGAGAUGAAGACGAAGACGUAAUACCGGUAUUGCCGAUCGAAAUGAAGAAGAAGUCUCUUGGAUCGAUCUUUGGCGGUUCGGUUGUGAUGAUGAUAAAUUAAUGUGGAAGAAUUGAAGAGUGAAGAUUGGAAGCGGUUGAAGGUUUCGGUGAACGGAGAUUACGGUUACGGUUACGGAUUCGUAGUGGUUGAAGGUUUGGCUAUGGAGUUUG